rnacentral:rRNA from 1 species
GUAGUCUCGCACAGAUGCAUAUCAAUAAGCGGAGGAAAAGAAACUAACAAGGAUUCCCCUAGUAACGGCGAGUGAAGCGGGAAGAGCUCAAAUUUGAAAUCUUAAAGGGUUUCCCUUUACGAAUUGUAGUUUAAAGAAGUGUUUUCUGUUGAGGUUUUGGUAAAAGUUCUUGGAAUAGGACAUCAUAGAGGGUGAGAAUCCCGUAUUUGACCUUUACUUUCAACUUUGUGAUACACUUUCAAAGAGUCGGAUUGUUUGGGAAUGCAGUCCAAAAUGGGUGGUAAAUUUCAUCUAAAGCUAAAUAUUGGCGAGAGACCGAUAGCGAACAAGUACCGUGAGGGAAAGAUGAAAAGAACUUUGAAAAGAGAGUUAAACAGUACGUGAAAUUGUCAAAAGGGAAGCGUUUGACACCAGUGUUGUUUUUCUGAAAAUCAAUUAAAGAACUGUUUAUGCUAAGUUGUUUAGACUUUAUCAGCUAACUGUUUAGUUUUGAGCUUUUCUUUAAUGCACUUUUCAGUUAACAAGUCAACAUCAAUUUCUUUUGCUGUAAAAAAGCUUGAGGAAGGUGGCUUGAGAUUCGUCUUAAGUGUUUAUAGCCUCUUGCCUAUGCAGUCGGAGAGAUUGAGGUCUGCAGCGUAGAUCCUUCGGGGCUAAAUGCAUUUGUGCUAAGUUAUAACAUUUUAUAGACAACUUGUUGACUAUGAUUUGUCUUGUAGCUUACUCGCUUAUGUUAUUUUACCUACGCUUAGGAUGUUGAUCUGUAGUGCGUGCGC